GACCCCAUAGCUCAGCGGAUAGAGCACACGUUUCCUAAACGUGGUGUCGCAGGUUCAAUUCCUGCUGGGGCCG
rnacentral:tRNA from 1 species